rnacentral:rRNA from 1 species
UACGGGGGGGCAAGCGUUGUUCGGAAUUACUGGGCGUAAAGGGCUCGUAGGCGGCCAACUAAGUCGGAUGUGAAAUCCCCAGGCUUAACCUGGGAACUGCAUCCGAUACUGGAUGGCUUGAAUCCGGGAGAGGGAUGCAGAAUUCCAGGUGUAGCGGUGAAAUGCGCAGAUAUCAGGAGGAACACCGGUGGCGAAGGCGGGUCUCUGGGCCGAUACUGACGCUGAGGAGCGAAAGCGUGGGGAGCGAACAGG